GACAUUCUUUUGAUUCCCAUCUUGGCUGGGUCUCAGCUCCUUCUUUGUCUGCGUGAGGCUAGGGUGUUACUUGUUUUAAAGCUCGAGUUGUCACAGCCGGGGCAUUUUCUGUUUUGGCUUAUGACAACCCCCCCUUUUUCUGAAUGAGUGUCCUUUGUAUAACCCCAGUAAUUCAGAAAUUCUACAGGCAUAGGGACUGCCCUGUCAUGUGACUUAGGUACUAGGUGUUGGUUGCGAUUGGUCAGCAGCUAAUUGUCAGGUCCCUAUAAGAAGUCCGGGGUUAGAAAACUGUCCACUCUCCACUCUCCCACUGGCUGCUGCUAUCAGGAGCAGGAUGGGGGUGAGGACUGUCCAAGGAUUCCUCUGUGUGAUAGAUGGCUGCAGCUGUGGGGGUCUACAAACCAGUGCAAGACACUGAGAUUUCUUGUAGCUGAUUUGAUCAAACUCUGGCUUCCAGAACUGGAAUGAAAUGCAGAUAAUUCGUUAGCAAACUUUUGUGGGAAAAAAGUGCCUUGUGUGAUCAGAACAAAGCCAUUUUAUAAUCAGAUUUACCAAGCUGAGAAGAGGGAGUUUCAGCAAAUGGAAGCUUGAGCUUUCUGUCACCAGGAAAGACUGUUAUCCAGAACCGAACCGGCUAUGUACUGGGAAAACCCUUCCAGGGUCAGUAUGGGCACAGUUCAGCAUCUACAACUAAACUGAGGCCAGAAGAAGAAUGCUGUUGUCAGGAUGUGGCAUGGGCCUUGGUUUGUACUAAGCUGUUUCCAACAAAAUACUUGUUCCUAGAGCCAAUUGAAAAAGUGGAUUCAUUUUCACUGUGUGGCAACCAGCCUCAACCAGUUUGGCAGCAAAUAUUUGAUUGUAGGUAAGAACUAUAUACUGCUGUCUUUCUCACAUUCUCUAAAGGUUAUAUAAAGCAACUAGUAUCCCCACUGCCUUUUAUGCAAUACAAUUCGGACCACUAAAUCUUAUUUACCUUUUCAAUUUUCUCCUUGUUACACUAGGAGAAUCCAGAUUUUUCUUCCUUCUUCUUCUUUGCUGAGCAUUGCAUGUUAUAGCUGGCAGCUUUAUCAGAUAGAGUCUGCAUGUAUAAUGAUAUACAUUUGGCCUUUUAUCCUUUUAAAAUGAUCAGAAUUUGGUGCUUCCAAAUCUUCACACUUCAUCUGUUAGAUUAUCUUUCUCCCUUUUCCUUUGUGGUAUGAGAAUUUGUAUAGUCUUAGUUAAACAUAAAUUGUCAUACAGCCACAGAACUCUAUUAGUUAGUACAGUACACAGUGUGGUUUGGUUUAUAGUAGACUUCCAUGGUUGUGUGACAGGCAGGCUAUAGUGAAGGUUAAAAGUCUUCCUGAGAGUUCCCCUUGCCCUACCCAGGACCCUUUUGCUGUUAAGUGGAUAAAGACAUAUACAGGUACAAUCCUGAAUGGAGAUGUUUAUCUGUUGGGGUUUCAUUUGUGUGUGUGUGUGUGUGUGUGUGUGUGUGUGUGUGUGUGUGUGUGUAUGUGUGUGUAUGUUGAAGUAUAUUAUUCUAGGUGACCAGAUAUUUUAUAAUUGAUUGACCUCUGGUAGAUUAAGGUGACCAUUGUUUACUAGAUGCUUCUGACCCCUCAAGUGUCAGACUCACCAAGAGUGAGACUUGAUUCUUACCUCAAAGCACCUGUAUUCUUACACAUUUCUAAACCAGUAGUGUCAUAGCAGUGUGACUUUGUUUCUGACCAACACAGACUAAGCCAUCACAGUGCCAGCCCUAAAGAAACCAGUGAGGAGGCCUAGAACUGGGCCUUCCACAGGCAUAGGCAGCACUCAGAAGGCUGCCUCUUUUUAGCGUGACUGAGCUGAGUAGAACUUGUCUGGGAAGAGUUACAGAAGAACUAAAAAUUCAGUAUCCUAAAAAUACUGGAUGGCAUAAGGAGUCAGACAGUGGCAGAAAGUCUGUGGUUAAUACAUAUAAAUGAGCCCUACAGCCUAUGAUUUUAGGCACAUGUUGAUGUCUUCAGAAAACUGCACAUGGCUUAGAAGUGAGAAUAAAUCUGUAAAGACCAGCAAUAAGUUGUGAUUGAACAAAGCCCAAGCUAGCAGUUUUUGGAGGAACUGAAAAUAUUUUUUUCUGUUAUUUACAGUUUCAGAAAACAAUUAUUAUUAUUUGUUAUCCUUAUUUUCUUAUCAUUAAUGGGAUGCAAAUAAUUUUAUUUCCCCUUUUUAAGGACAGGAGUUCGUCACUGCCUUGCACACUGCUGACAUUGUACCUAGAAACUGCCUUACAUAUUUCUUCCAGAGAGGAGGGAGAAAGGGAGAAAAAUGGAUUUAAGGCAGUUGAUUUCUAGAAUUUGUCCACCAAAGACUAUGUGUCACUCAGCUUAAAGCUAUCCUUUUUUAGUAAGCAAAAAAGACUUAUGCUUUCAUCCAGUAAUUAUUUUAAAAAUGAUUUUUUUCAUUCAGAAGGAUUAAAUGCAUGUAUCUAAUUGCUAAAUAUUAUUUUCCAAAACUAGUCUGAGUCUGUCUUUAUUAGCUGAAAGAGGGUUCACCUUCAGAAGCCUGUUUUAGGAUCUUGUGCCAACCUGAUUCCUUUCUAGACCUGUUCAGGCUAGACUUAUUUGGCAGAAAAUAUCUUUUUCAAAGUUGAACAGGAAUGUCCCAGAAAAUGUUCACCUCAAAUUUCAAGUUGACUUGUAGAACAAUUUACUAAAUAGAGAAAUAUGAGGAUCAAGUGACCAUCAGCUGGUAUAAAUGUUAUUGGUCAAUAUAGUCACAGGACCUCAGGUAUGUAAGAGUUAGACAGACUGCCACCACGUGCCUGGUUAUGGUGAUAGCCUGAUUCAAUUGCUCUAACGUAAUGCAGAAGGAAUCCAAGUUCACAGGAAUGUACUUUAAUUAGACACCUGUAUUUAAAAGGUUGGUUUCUCCUCCUGCAUAAUUAAACUCUGUGCACACAGUAUGUAUAUGAAUCCAUUACUUUCCUUGUCUAUAUUUACUGUUAAUUAGACUUUUUAUUCUUCACCAUUUGAGAGGUAUGUGUGUGUGUGUUUAAACAGCUUUAUUGAAGUAUGAUAAACCAAAAAACAGUGCAUACUUCAGGUGGACAGUUUGAUGAGUUUGGAUAAAUAUAAACACCUGUGAUGAUGUCGUAAUUCCAAUCACCCAUGAUCAAGGUAAUGACUGGCUUAGUGCCUCCCAAAGUUUGUUUUCUUCCCACACUGCCCCUUACCUUCCCCCUCCAUGCAUAUGUUUACAUUUUAAAAGAAUAUUUAACAUGAAGCCCACCUAGUGGUAGAUGUCUUUAUUUAAAUUAAUACUGACUUUGUUAAAAUUAUGGACUGGCUUGUGCUUUUUCAGAUCCAUAAAUGUGUUUGUGACAGAAGUUGACUGCAUUCUUUAGUUAAUGGAAGGUGCUAGCACAUGAAUCAAAGACUCAUUCAUCCAUUCACACACUUGGGAGUCUCUUAAAAUACUAAACUGCAAGCUAUAAUAUGUAUGCAGAGAACCUGGGGCACACCCAUGUAGGCCCUGUGCUUACUACUUCAAUCUCUGUGAGCUCAUAUGAGCCUUGAUUAGUUGAUUUAGAGGGCCUUGUUCUCCUGGUAUCCUCCAUCCUAUCUGUCUCUUACACAUUUUCUGCCUUCUCUUCUAUAGGCUUCUCUGGGUUCUGAGGAGAAGAAUUUGAUAGAGACAGCCCAUUUAGAACUGUGUGUUCCAAGGUCUCUCUCCAUGUGUAAUGUCUGGUUGUGGAUCUUUGGAUUUGUUUCUGUCUACUUCAGGAAGAAGUGUCUCUGAUAAUAGCUCAAUAAAAAAGGUAAUGAUCUAUGAGUAUAGCAGAAUGUCAUCAGUAGUCAUUUUGUCACAUUUUUUUUUCAUUUUUUAGACCAGUAGUAUUUAGUUUUACUCUACAUUUCUGAGCUAUCUAAGUCUCUGGUUCUGGUCACUCAAGUAGUUUUGGGUUUGGGUCCCAUCUUAUGGAGUAGGCCUUAAAUCAAAUCAGACAGUUGUUGAUUACUCCCACAAGGUAUGUGCCACCACUGCCCUAGCAUAUUUUGCAGGCAGGACAGAUUGCAGAUCAAAGGUUUUGUGGCUGGGUUGAUGUUUAUGUUUCUUUUUUGGUAGCUUCCAGAAUAAUAUUCUGUGUCAUAAACACUAGAAUAUAGGGUGAUGGUUCUAUGUAGAUACCAUCUUUACCUCUCCAUGCUUAAUGAGUUGUAUGGAUAUUGUCUUCAGCAAUGUGGCCUUGUCGUCUGUUUGUGAGCAACCUAUAUUCUUGGCACCCUAACCCUAACCCUAACCCUAACCCUAACCUCUUUGUAUGAGGAUUGUAUUUUCCCCUUUGACCAACAACUCAAUUGGAUGUAACCUGGUCCCAGUAC